rnacentral:tRNA from 1 species
AGCGGGGUGGAGAAGUCAGGAGUUCUCACCAGACUCAUUAUCUGGAAAUCGGUGGUUCAAAUCCACCUCCCGCUU